rnacentral:rRNA from 1 species
CCCUUAGAUGUUCUGGGCCGCACGCGUGCUACACUGAGUGGAUCAGCGGGUCAGGUUGCGCGAAAGCGUUUCCUAAUCUUUAAAUCCGCUCGUGAUGGGGAUUGACGGUUGCAAUUUUCUGUCAUGAACGAGGAAUACCUUGUAAGCGCGGGUCAUCAUCCCGCGCUGAAUACGUCCCUGCCCUUUGUACACACCGCCCGUCGCUCCUACCGAUUGAGUGGUCCGGUGAGGCUUUGGGAUCUGAGCGGAAAGAGCGUUGCGCUGUUUCUGCUCGGAAAACUCAGUCGAACCUUAUCAUUUAGAGGAAGGAGAAGUCGUAACA